AUUGAACGCUGGCGGCAGGCCUAACACAUGCAAGUCGCACGAGUGGCGGACGGGUGAGUAAUGUAUGGGAAACUGCCUGAUGGAGGGGGAUAAAUACUGGGAACGGUAGCUAAUACCGCAUACCAUCAGAUGUGCCCCGAUGGGAUUAGCUAGUUUGUGGGGUAACGGCUCACCAAGGCUACGAUCCCUAGCUGGUCUGAGAGGAUGACCAGCCACACUUGGACUGAGACACGGUCCAGACUCCUACGGUAGGCAGCAGUGGGGAAUAUUGCACAAUGGGCGCAAGCCUGAUGCAGCCAUGCCGCGUGUAUGAAGAAGGCCUUCGGGUUGUAAAGUACUUUCAGCUGGGAGGCGUUACCCGCAGAAGAAGCACCGGCUAACUCCGUGCCAGCAGCCGCGGUAAUUC
rnacentral:rRNA from 1 species